rnacentral:pre_miRNA from 17 species
GCUACUUGAAGAGAGGUUAUCCUUUGUGUGUUUGCUUUUCUUGCCAUGAAUAUGCAAGGGCAAGCUCUCUGCGAGGAGC